UGCCUCGCUGAAUUUAGCAUCCAAUUCGCAUACCUUUCAAUAUUUGACACUCCACGUGCGUGGAGUUUUUUCUCCCUUUUCUUCAAGUUUCCAUCUUUUUCCUUUUUUCCUUUUCUACCUAGGUGAAUGGACAAUAUUAGCCUGCUCUUAUCCUUUACUCUCCCAUACUCUCCCAACCAUCUCUAGUUCCUUUCUUUUGGCGAAGAAAAAAUUGUUCCACCCGCGUCGGCGCCGACGCCGGCGAAAGUCGGGCACGAUGGAAUUGAAUCGCAGGAGCUUGUCCUUGAACACGGACGCCACCACCGAGUCGUCCACCGAGGUCGCAUGCGCCAGUGGCCUGGAGGAGGAGGCAGCGCAGGUGCACUCCCCGGUCCAUCUUGCGGCGCGCGAGGUUAGUGCCGGCUCUGGCGAUGGCGGCGGCGUGCACCACCGGGUUCGGCGCGGACAGGAGGUUGUUGUUCGAGAAGGAGAGCUCCACGUACACCUACCUCCUCGCCAACGUCGCGGACCCCGACAAGCCCACCGUGUGGUCGGCGUCCUCGUCCUCUGCGCGGGCGUCCUCGCGCCGUCCGCCGCUGCGUUCGACAGCGGCAACCAGUUGUUUAUUCGCAUCGGGAGAAAAAAAAAAGGACAGGGAGGGGCGGGCGGAGGCAGCCUGGGCCCUGGGGCGUGCUGCGCGGCGAUGGACAGAAGUGGCCGAGCGGCGGGCGGCCGGAGGCAGCCUGGCGGCUGCGUCGCGGACGAAGGGAGCUCCGUCCUCUUGCAUCAUUGUUCCGCCCGCUUGCACGGACACCCACCAUGCCAAUCCGGCCAAAAGAACUCCAAAUCAGAGUCACCUAUGAAACCUCGUUCCAUUUUAGCCGUCUCUGGAUCCAUUGGUGAACCCCAUGAUUGAGUUUUGAAGUUGGGGAGAAAGAAGCGGUGGAAAUGUACUUCAAUUUUACAUUUGGCCUCUUUGCAUACCCUGAAUGGCAGGGGCAUUAUUGUCAGUGCACUAGGGCUGAAAGGAGAAAAGAAAAUGAAGAGAUAGAAAUUGAAGAAAAGGUUGGAGAAGCCCCUAAAUCAAAACAAUUCGCAUGCCGAGUGUUAAAUAUUGAAAGGCAUGCAAAUUCGAUAUCAAAUUCAGUGAGGCACGUGUAUUGAGUAUCAAAUAUCGAAAUCUCUCCUCGUGAUAUAUCUAUUUGCACCGGCGGCCUGGCGUCACCACUGUGUCGAGGUUCUACCUGCGCCGACGCUCCGAUCCCCGACAGUCUACCUGCACCGCCGCUCUGCUCGCCACCGGUCUACUUGCGCCGCCGCUCUGCUCGCCGUCGGUUUGCGCCGCUCAAGCUGCUGCCAUCUUUCUUCCCCUCGCUUCCAUCUAUCGACUAUCGCACGUGGCAUGUGUUACUGAUGUAAUCCGCUACUACUGGUGUAAUCUGCUGCCGCUUGGACUUGUCUAAUAAUGCAUACUGUACUUAUCUAAUAAUCUGCUA